rnacentral:piRNA from 1 species
UUGCUCAGAGACAUGAGUUGGA